GGGAAACUGCCUGAUGGAGGGGGAUAACUACUGGAAACGGUAGCUAAUACCGCAUAACGUCUACGGACCAAAGUGGGGGACCUUCGGGCCUCACGCCAUCAGAUGUGCCCAGAUGGGAUUAGCUAGUAGGUGGGGUAAUGGCUCACCUAGGCGACGAUCCCUAGCUGGUCUGAGAGGAUGACCAGCCACACUGGAACUGAGACACGGUCCAGACUCCUACGGGAGGCAGCAGUGGGGAAUAUUGCACAAUGGGCGCAAGCCUGAUGCAGCCAUGCCGCGUGUGUGAAGAAGGCCUUAGGGUUGUAAAGCACUUUCAGCGAGGAGGAAGGGUUCAGUGUUAAUAGCACUAUUCAUUGACGUUACUCGCAGAAGAAGCACCGGCUAACUCCGUGCCAGCAGCCGCGGUAAUACGGAGGGUGCAAGCGUUAAUCGGAAUUACUGGGCGUAAAGCGCACGCAGGCGGUUUGUUAAGUCAGAUGUGAAAUCCCCGCGCUUAACGUGGGAACUGCAUUUGAAACUGGCAAGCUAGAGUCUUGUAGAGGGGGGUAGAAUUCCAGGUGUAGCGGUGAAAUGCGUAGAGAUCUGGAGGAAUACCGGUGGCGAAGGCGGCCCCCUGGACAAAGACUGACGCUCAGGUGCGAAAGCGUGGGGAGCAAACAGGAUUAGAUACCC
rnacentral:rRNA from 1 species